UUUUCCUAUGACAUUGUUUGAAUAAUUCUAAUAUUAUUUAUUAGAAAAAUAUUUCUAUCUAUAGUGAGAAUUCAUAACUCACAAAAAAGAUUAAUAGACUAAAACCAAAGUUCACUAAUAAAUAUAAUACCAGCAAGAAUUCUUAUGGUUUUUAUCACUCAUACACAAUUAAUGCAAAAUUCUUUUUACGAUCUACAAAAGUUGUUCAUUUUUUUGGGUCAUUUGUCACGUAGGUAUCACAUUAUGUCAACAAUCUACUUUAAAAAUGGACGAAGAUCAAAUUUUAAAUUAUCAACAAAAUUAUGAAUAGUCAGUGAUACUAUAUACCUAUGUACUGUAUUACUAUGUUGUAAAACUCUUUGGUUAAAUAAUUUUGUCUUUCUGUAAAUUUGCAUUAACACUGGCGCGUGUGCUUUAAAGUAGAAUAAAAAAAGUUUUGUAAAAUAUUGGUUGUGGAAUUAAUGAAUUUGUAUUUUUUUUCCGUUACAUAAAUUUUGAUAAGUAGCUAUCCACGUAAUAAAAAAAUAAAUGAAUAAUGAAAUUUAUGGUAGAAAAUCAUAAUAUUAACUUAUUGCACAUGAGGUCAUGAGGUAAAUGACGAAAAUUUUGAACAUUUGAAGUGAUUUUUUUAAACUAUUAUUCUCAUCGGUCUUAGUAAUUAAAUUUACCUAUUCUUUCAUUGUAAAGUGAUUUAUUUCUUCUUUUAAAAAUUUUUUCUGCCAAUCUGGGUAUUUAUGAAUUAGGAAUGACAAGUUCUUCUUCACAUGAAUGUAUAGAAACCUAUUUCGAAAACUUUGUACCUAAGCGUCAAGAUGUUUUGUUUUUUGCAUAAAAAACGGCGCGUCGUAUGAAAAAAAGGGUAAAUUUUUUGUCACAAAUUAAACGAGGAAUUCCAAAAUGAUUUUUUAUUUGAAAUAUCAUUAAAUCGCCAGUUUGUUAGAAAAAUUACAACACCUCGUUUCUCGGAAACAAAACAUUUGCGGACAUACGUUUAUAGAGCAAACUGUCAUCAUUUUUUCAUGUAGAAUUAUCCCUCAAAGUUUGUCGCACUUAUUUAGAAACACCCUAUAUCCUUUAUAAUUUCCAUAGUUUUCAGUGUAUUCCUUCACUCAACCGUUCUCUCCAGUUCUUUCUGUUUUGCCAGUCUCCUUCUUGAAGAUUUCUUCUUUCCAUUGCUUCGUCCACUUCACCUCUGAAAGAUCUUCGGCCCUGCCUUUCUUUUUUCUUCGUAUCGGGCUCCACUGUAUUAUUCUGUUGAUCCAACGUUUUUUGUCUGCUUUUCUUCUUGUCCGUACCAGGUUAAUUUCUUCUGUUCUAUGUAGUCUAUUAUGUCUGAGUUCACCCCCAUUCUUCUCUUAAUCUCUAUGUUAUUUAUUCGAUCUCUUUUCAUUGCUCUUAGCUUUAGCUGGUACUCACAGCUUUUCCUUAGAAAUUCCAUCUCUGUUGUAUUUUGUUUUUGGUUUACUUAUUUACUAUACAAUUUUCACACCCAUAAGUCAGGAUACUUCUUGUCAUGGUGUGAUAUAUUCUUCCUCUUGUUUUUAUAUUGAUGUUCUUGUCCAACAAUACCGGGUUAAUUUUCAAAAUUUUCAUAUGCAGUCUCUUGUUUGUCCUAGUCUAUGUUUUAUAUUAUCUUCUUCAGUUGUUCCUUUGUUUGAUAUUAUGAAACCUAAAUACUUGUUAAAAUAAGAAGAUCUACGGUUUCGUUUUGAUCAAAAUCUGUCUUCCUCCAUCCCCCGAUAGCACUAUUUCUAGGUCUACCUGUUGUCAAGGAGGCUCUAAGGAAGACAGAUUUUUACCAUUCCGACCGUAGAUUGUCGAUAUAAAUUAAAAUAAUUUAUAUCGCAGUAUGGAUAGAACGCCCUCUAACGGGGAAUAAGCGAAAUGAAUUUCGACUCAAUUCAAGCUUUCUGUUUAACCCAGGUAUAAACAUACCAAAAGGCACCGCCAGGAAAACAUUCCACUUAGCGGUUCAGAGAGCCCAUAUGAAACGAGUCUUUGUACUCUAUGCAGAGUAUGGCAUUAACAAAAUAAGAAGAUCUACGGUUUCGUUUUGAUCAAAAUCUGUCUUCCUCCAUCCCCCGAUAGCACUAUUUCUAGGUCUACCUGUUGUCAAGGAGGCUCUAAGGAAGACAGAUUUUUACCAUUCCGACCGUAGAUUGUCGAUAUAAAUUAAAAUAAUUUAUAUCGCAGUAUGGAUAGAACGCCCUCUAACGGGGAAUAAGCGAAAUGAAUUUCGACUCAAUUCAAGCUUUCUGUUUAACCCAGGUAUAAACAUACCAAAAGGCACCGCCAGGAAAACAUUCCACUUAGCGGUUCAGAGAGCCCAUAUGAAACGAGUCUUUGUACUCUAUGCAGAGUAUGGCAUUAACAAAAUAAGAAGAUCUACGGUUUCGUUUUGAUCAAAAUCUGUCUUCCUCCAUCCCCCGAUAGCACUAUUUCUAGGUCUACCUGUUGUCAAGGAGGCUCUAAGGAAGACAGAUUUUUACCAUUCCGACCGUAGAUUGUCGAUAUAAAUUAAAAUAAUUUAUAUCGCAGUAUGGAUAGAACGCCCUCUAACGGGGAAUAAGCGAAAUGAAUUUCGACUCAAUUCAAGCUUUCUGCUUAACCCAGGUAUAAACAUACCAAAAGGCACCGCCAGGAAAACAUUCCACUUAGCGGUUCAGAGAGCCCAUAUGAAACGAGUCUUUGUACUCUAUGCAGAGUAUGGCAUUAACAAAAUAAGAAGAUCUACGGUUUCGUUUUGAUCAAAAUCUGUCUUCCUCCAUCCCUUUCCUGGCGGUGCCUUUUGGUAUGUUUAUACCUGGGUUAAGCAGAAAGCUUGAAUUGAGUCGAAAUUCAUUUCGCUUAUUCCCCGUUAGAGGGCGUUCUAUCCAUACUGCGAUAUAAAUUAUUUUAAUUUAUAUCGACAAUCUACGGUCGGAAUGGUAAAAAUCUGUCUUCCUUAGAGCCUCCUUGACAACAGGUAGACCUAGAAAUAGUGCUAUCGGGGGAUGGAGGAAGACAGAUUUUAAUCAAAACGAAACCGUAGAUUUUCUUAUUUUGUUAAUGCCAUACUCUGCAUAGAGUACAAAGACUCGUUUCAUAUGGGCUCUCUGAACCGCUAAGUGGAAUGUUUUCCUGGCGGUGCCUUUUGGUAUGUUUAUACCUGGGUUAAGCAGAAAGCUUGAAUUGAGUCGAAAUUCAUUUCGCUAAAUACUUGUACUUGUUUGUUCCUUUGAUUUGUUUACCUUCGUCUAUUUCCAGUCUAUUCUUUUGUUAUUGGAAUACCCAUUCCUUCGCACUUCUUCUCCCUGAUUUCAGGGUUUUUUCCAGGAAUAUUUAAAAUAGGAAAUGGAUAUGGAACAGCCCUGUAGCAGUUCAUUUUUCGUCUUAAAUAAAUUGCAUAUUCUAUUGCCCGUUUUGAUAGCUACUUUGUUCUUCUUGUAUAGUGCUUAUACUGCUUUUAUUAAUAUUCGUGGAACUUCGAGGUCUUCCAUUGUGUCCCAUAGCCUUAGUUCUAGGUACCGAGGCAUAGGCCAACUCAUUAUAUCGUAAAACAAUGAAUGAUUUUCAAUUGAAUUUAGAUGAUUGUAGAAGCCAAGGAUAUAACAACGGCUCUAACAUGAAGGGAAGAAAUAAAGGUGUACAAGCUCGUGUCUGCAAAGAAUAGCCUCCUUAUUUUUUAUGCUAUGUGGAUCCCACUCCCUCAAUUUAGUCAUUGGGGAUGCAGAUUGUGCGCUUGCAGUGCGCAAAAUCAACAUCUUUUUUUGUUAUUGUAAAAGUACAACGUAAUACAUUUUUUCAGUUUGUUGGCAAUGUGCAUUUAUCUUUAUCUUUUGUCUUGCUCCUUCGUUGCUUGGAUUUCAAAUGCGUUUGUUAUGCUAUGCCAUAUUAUGUUGCAUCAGCUAUAAACAAUAAAUGACUAUUGUACUCCCAAGUAGCAAUUUUUCGACGCAUUGGUUGUCAGUACAAACAAAUGCACUGUAUAUAACGUUGCCAGAGAGCAUUUUCAGUUGUUUCGGCCAACGUCCCCUAUCGCGACUGACAUUACGAUGUUACAACUUUAAGUAAUACCUUUAGUUAUACGGGCAACUAAUUUAUUACCAUUGUGACAACUACAUAUCACAGUUCAGCUUUUUCAACAAUCGCAACAACUUAAAAACGUUAUAAUGCUAAAUUAAUUUACGCCCUGGCCGAUUUGGGUUUUCUGGCCGACUCUGAAGUUGUCUGUCACGACCCUAGGUGUUGUUCUAGGUGUGUGACACCUUUGCGGUAACUUCAGAAGGAGAAAAAUAAUUUACUUUAUAACCUUAUUAUUUUCUUAUUAUUAUAUGUUUUAUUUUGCUGGAAAUUUUCGAUUUAUUUAACAACCUGGUAAUUUGUUUUUUUAAUAGCUGGUUUCCAUUCCAUUGUCCACUGUUUUAUCAGUAGAUUUGAUAACCUUAAUAUUUCAAUCUUUGUAUCAGCUUUAGUAGACGGGGUUGCCAGAUGAGUUUUUACUCUUUCAGUAUAUAGCUUUGCUUUCACAAAAUCAGUACAUAAAUUCUUUUUAGGCCAUGUAAAUACAGUAUACUUAUACAGUAAUAUGCAUAUCCGUCCUAAAUGUCCCAAAAGGAAUUCCAAAAAUUGGAAACCUAAUUAUUCCAAACCAUUCGAUCCAAACCACCCACGUAAUUACCAUUUUUUUAGCUAAAAUCUGCUAAAUCAAAAAAUAAAAUAUACUUAAGGAUUUUUGGGAUAUAUUUGGGAUUUUUGAUAAUAAAAACAACAGCUAACUUAAAGGGAUAGGCGCAAAAUGUCGCCUGUUAAAAUGUUCAAUGUAUUUUAAAUGUUUACAUUUUUUGCGAAUCCUGAGAAAACUAAUAAGUAUUUUGAAAAAUUUAAACGCAGAAAGAAAGAUUACGUUAUUAACGGGGACCGAAAGUCCCUGAAAACUUCUAUGUUUAUUUUAAUAAGUUAUAGGGGUGAAAAAAAUAAAAAAAUUAGUGUGACUUUUAAUUCCAAAUAUCUCAUUCAUAAGAAACGUUUUGGUUUUUCUAAAUAAUGCAGUCUUUCAUUGUGCGUUUAAAUUUUUCAAAAAUACUUAUUAUAGUUUCCUCAUGAUUCGAAAAAAAUGAAUAGGUACAUUUAAUAACUAGAAUAUUUUGUCAUCCCCUAAUUUUAACAUCUGCAUGUCUGGAUCAAAUUCUUCAAACAAAUUGUUUCGCAUUUAACAUUAGAAACACGUAAACACAACAUUUUUUGUUUUGCAAAAUUACAUAUGUUUAGAUAUUUUAGUUUUCCAUCAUUAGCUUCUAAUAGGCUCACCGAAUGUCAGAACUCUUCAAUAACACCUGAAAUACUGCUUGCACUGUUACUUGAAAUCUGCAAGUUUAUUACACAAGAAUCCAGUUUCCAGUUUCAUUUCUCUGUAACAUUCACCAUCUACGUCCUGAAUCUUAUUUUCGGUAAUGACAUUAGGAAAUUGUAACCAAAUGUCUGAAAAUUAAUUUAGAAAUGGGGUAAAUACUAUUAAAAAGCAAAUUUUAUUUUAGUCAUAACAAAAUGUUGAAAUAUACCAAAAAUCUACUAAAAAAUAUUGCCUACUAGAAUAUUUUAAAAAAUAUCAAAAACCUACCAAAAAAAGUAGAAAUCUCCUAAAUGUGACAACGCUGUUAAGGAGAAUGAUACACUUUUGACACUGGUCACAUGACCUCUGUCACCCAAUAAGAGGGUGCGUUCUAAAAUGGUUGGGAUAGUCGGCGCGGCCGGGUUUUGGUUGGCGAUUGGGCUUCUAAGUUGUCUUUUCCGUCUAUGGUUGGUAAUAAGGUAUUUUUUUAGUAAUAUUGGUAAAUUUGGUAAUGCACCAUUUUGGUUUUACUUGAGAUUUUUGAGAUGUAAAGAAAAUGAAAACACAGAAUAUAAAUAAUGCAGGCAUUUUUUGAUACCUUUAAAAGCACCAUCAAUACAUUAAAUUUAUACAGAACAUCUUUAACAUAAAUUUUGACUUUUAUAUUAAUAUUAGAUUUUUUUAAAUUUGCAUAUUUUUUGUCAAAAAUGUCAUAAAAAGGAGCGCGUGUGUUUUUUAAAGGUGAAAUAUUCAUAUUUGACGGUAAUCUGAGAUGAGUUUAUAAAUUUCACAUCAGGUAAUUUUGUUUAAGUCCUUUAUGUAUUUAUAUAAAUUUAAAUACCUAAUACGAUGUCAAAAUAGUUUUGGUUUUCGCAUUCACCAUACAUCUGUUAAAAAUAUAUAGGUAAAAAAACAUAACCAGUCUGACUCCUUGAACAACCAUUGCACGCGCAGGUUCUUUUUAUAGUCGCUUCAGUUGUCUUAUGCAACGCUUACGAAACGAUGUUGCUUCACAGGAGGUUGCCUAGGCAACGUCAAGACAACUCAAAAAUCGUCCACCAAAUUAGUGCAGAAUAGGGUCGUCUUCUAGGCAAUAACAACGUUGUAACAAAACGCUGCCACGCGGUAGACAACGUUGUCGUGUCGACAAAUUGCUACUUGGGCUAUUUUUGAUUAAAUAUAUUGUUACAUAGUUCUUUAUAAUGAAAUUUUAAUUUUUUGCCUUUUUUUUUUACUAUUUUUUCAUAUUUGCAGCAUGUAUAUAAUAUUUCGUAUGAAAGGGCGCCAAAUCUUGUUUUGCCCGGGGCGCUCAAAACCCUAGAACCGGCCCUGCUCGUACCAACCUACAAUUUCAUCUGCGUUUAUACUCUGGGCUAAUUAGCAAAAUUCAUGGAAAAGUUAUUUACCAGCAAUUUUAUUCCUGGAAUCGAAUUAUAAGAUCCUAUAUAUUAAUAAUAUAGGUAUGCAAAGUCCGCAGAUAGUGUGCUACUUUUUUUAUAAACAAAAUGGCGCCGACAAAUCGUAUUUUUUUCAAUUAUUGCUCUAUAAAUCCGAAGAUUUUAACUUUACAACAAAAACACCCAAAUAAAAAUUCACCGCAAUUAAAUUCUGCAUAGAGAUAUGUUUUUCACGAUUUGCUCCGACGAAAAUUUUCCUCGGAAAAUGCGGGUUUUCCUAACAAAAACUAUAAUUUUCAAAUAAAGUUUUAGAUAAGUAAUUAUUAAUCAAUAAUUAAAUAACUUAGUGGCAUCAAAGAUUUCUUGGUAUAGAUUGUAAUUCCAGAAGCCGGUGAAAAUUAAACGAAUAUUUUAGCAACAAUUCAAUUGUUAAUUAACAAUUUACGAUCACAAUAAUAACCAAAAUAAUCAUGAUACAUUGAUCAAACUUAUAAAGAUGAGAUGCUUGUUUAAUAUUUUAUCGACAAAAUAUAAAUUUUUCUUUUUUUUUGCAUAAUCUUUAAAUUUUGAAAAAAAAAUAGUUAUAAUACGUUGGUCUAAUUAGUAAAGUACAAAGAAAGGUUAUUUACCAGCAAUUUUAUUGCUUUAAUCGAAUUAUAAGAUCCUAUAUAUUAUUAAUAUAGGUAUGCAAAGUCCACAGAUAGUGUGCUACUUUUUUUAUAAACAAAAUGGCGCCGACAAAUCGUAUUUUUUUCAAUUAUUGCUCUAUAACUCCGAAGAUUUUAACUUUACACCAAAAAUACUCAAAUAAAAAUUCACCCCAAUUUAAUUCUACAUAGAGGCAUGUUUUUCCCGAUUUGCUCUGACGAAAAUUUUCCUCGGAAAAUGUGGGUUUUCCCAACAAAAUCUCGAAUUUUCAAAUAAAUUUUUUGGGCCACUAAUUAUUUAUCAAUAAUUAUAUAGCUUGGUGAAAUAAAAGCUUUCUUGGUAUAGAUUAUAAAUUCAGAAGCCGGUUAAAAUGAAAUGAAUAUUUUAGCAACAAUUCAAUUGUUAAUUAACAAUUUACAGUCGCAAUAACAACCAAAAUAAUCAUGAGACAUUGAUCAAACUUAAAAGAAAGAUUAUAAAGGUGUGAUGCCUAUUUAAUAUUUUGUCGACAAAAUAUAAAUUUUUCAUUUUUUUGCAUAAUCUUUAAAUGUUUAAAGAAAAUUGUUAUAAACAAAUAAACAUUUCUUAGAAAUUGUUUAUUAUAUUCUAAUUUUAAAAAAUACUUCAAAUGCGUAUUUCAUAGGUCUUGAAAAUGAAUGCUUUAAAAAAAUUUUCCAACCAUGUGCAAAAAAGUUAGGAAACAGCAAAAUAAAUAUACGAUAGCUCCAUUGUUUAUAAUUUGUUUUAAUUGUUUCAAAGCUUAAAAGUGAUCUAUGGUACAAUCUAAUUACUCAUAAAGAAUGUCAAAAAUUAGUGCAAUGGUUAUAUUUUAAUCAAAGAUUAAAAAUACUUUUUUUUUGUAAUUUUUAGCGCGAAAGUAGGCUUGAUACAGAGCCGGAGAUAAAAUGUUCACUCGAAGCGACUGACACGCUUAAACUCGCGCGAGUUGUGUAUGUGGGCGGGUAGCUACGGUACUGUAUUAUUCUACUUUCGCGCGUAUAAAUUACAAAAAAAUAUAUUUAUAAUCUUUAAUUAAAAUAUAACCAUUAAGCUGAUAAUCCAUAUUGUUUUAUAAAUAACUAGCUUGUACUUUAAACUCACUUCUACGCUUUGAAAGAAUUAAAAAAAAUUAUUAACACCGUAGUAAUCGUAUGUUUACUUUGCUGUUUCAUAACUUUUUUGCAAAUGGUUGCAAAAAAGUUUUAAAGCAUUCAUUUUCAAGAUAUUUGAAAUGCGCCUUUUAGCUAUUUUUUAAAAUUAUGAUAUAAUAAAAACUUUCUGAGAAACGUUAAUUUGUGUAUAACUAUUUUUUUUUUAACAUUUAAAGAUUAUGCAAAAAAAUAAAAAAUUUAUAUUUUGUCGACAAAAUGUUAAAUAGGCAUCUCAUCUUUAUAAGAUUUCAAAGUUUGAUCAGUGUAUCAUAAUUAUUUUGGUUAUUAUUGCGACCGUAAAUUAUUAAUUAACAAUUGAAUUGUUGCUAAAAUAUUAGUUUAAUUUUCACCAGCUUCUGGAACUAUAAUCUAAACCAAGAAGGCUUUUAAGUCACCAAAUUAUUUAAUUAUUGGUAAAUAAUUACUUAUCUAAAACUUUAUUUGAAAAUUAAAGAUUUUGUUGGGAAAACCCGCAUUUUCCGAGGAAAAUUUUCGUCUGAGCAGAUCGGGAAAAACACGUCUCUAUGCAGAAUUUAAUCACGGUGAAUUUUUAUUUGAGUGUUUUUGUUGUAAAGUUAAAAUCUUCGGAGUUCUAGAGCAAUAAUUGAAAAAAACACGAUUUUCGGGCGCCAUUUUGUUUAUAAAAAAAGUAGCACACUAUCUGCGGACUUUGCAUACCUAUAUUAUUAAUAUAUACAAUCAUAAGAUUCGAUUCCAGCAAUAAAAUUGCUGGUAAAUAACUUUUCCCAAAAAUGGCCUAUUCUCCGAUAAUCAGCCCAGACUAUUAUUAAACAUAAUUGUGUUGUAGCCAUUGUAAAUUUGUUUUAAAAUAAAUAUAAACGCGCCUUAGUUAUGCAUUUAAGACUUGACGUUGGUCUAAAACGUUUUGUUUGUGUGGAAUGCAAUAAACAGUUUAAUCAAAAAUAUGAAUUAGAUAAUUAUAUAUUAAAAAAACAAUGAUAAUGUCAAUAAGUAGAUACCAAAAUUUGAUUGUGUUCUUUUUGUAAUUAUAAAAUAACAGUUUUAGAGAGCUUACGAUAAUAUGUAUCUGUUAAUUCAUUCUCAUAAAACUCCUCAUGUUUGUUCCGAUCGUAAAAAAGCAUGUAAACAAAAUGUAGAAUUACAAAGACACAUUUUGAGUCGUCAUUCAAGUAACGAAUCAUUGAUAAAAAUGAUAACCUCUAAUUUUUUUUUCUCUGAUUCUGGCUUUGGUUUAGAACUAGAACCUUUAGCCACGUAAUUGUAUAACUUAUCACUAAGUCAGGGGAGUAAUGUGUAGUGUGUGUGUUGAGUAAGUGUCUUGUUACUUUGCAAAGUCGACGUCAUUGUCUUUACAAAGAGACGCUAAUUGUUUCCGAACGACUGCGAUCCCUCCGGUGAGUACCGAUCCCACACCUCUAAAUUUUAUACUUGUGAAAUAUGCAAUUUCAAAACUAUAAACAAAUAUGAUUUUAAAAAACAUUGAAAAACUUGUUUAAAAUAAAAAAAAAAGAAUGUGUGUGUACUUUGUACGCACAUAAGAAGUUAUACUUCUAUUACAUAUUAUGUGAUUUUAACGAAAUUGAUAUAAUGUACUUUAAACAGUUUAUUUAUAUUUUAUUUAAAUAUUAAACUAAUUUUAAUACUUACUACUUUCCAAAAAUUUUUAUUAAGGUAAUACCAAAAAUUUAAAAAAAUAAAAGAAUAAAACGCACACAAACACAUUAAAAAAUGCCACAAAGAAAAAAUGAUUUCUGAACGAUAAUAAUUGUUGGCAAAAAUUAUAAAUACGCAUUUUCUGAAAAAAAAUAUAUAACAAAUAUACUUACAAUCAUAAAAUGCAUAAAAAAAUAAAAACUUGCAUCGGGAUUCGAACCCGCGAAUUUGGGGGCGCUUUGAUUCGUAAUCGAAGCCUAGACUCACUCAUCCAAUUACACAUUACUUGUCAUGUAGAAAACUAGGGCAACUGAACGUUUUACUGUUUGACAGUUGAUCUGAAUCUAAUUAAAUUAUGUAGUUUGAUUUUUGUGGAAGAAAAUAUUAAAAUAUAACAAGACAGUAAGAAAACAAUAUAUUAGAUGAAGAGUGUAGAACUUUUGUUCAAAUUUUUGUAAUCAAAUUAAGUAUGUAAACCAAAGCAUUACAUACCUACUAGUUACUAGAUAAAUAAAUCUACGCCAAAAAAUCAUAAUUUAAAAAUAAAAAUCGGACCUAAUUUCGGAUUUCAAAAAAAAAUAGAAUGAGUUUACCUUGUCCAAAAUAGUCCAAAAGUCCAAAAAUAUAUAUAUGAAAACUAUUUAAAAAGGCAGUAUAACUAUUAACUAACUUUUGUUUGUUGUUUCUUUUCCCACAAAUUUCAAAACGCAACAACCAUAAAUAAUCAAACCACAGCUGUGCCACAGCAGCCAUAUUGAAUAAUUUUUGACAUGUCAUUUGAACAUCCAAUUAGAACAAAGUUAUAAUGCGACUGCGCCCAGAUUGAAGGUUUUAAUCAUAUUAAAAUUCACCCUCAUAUCGCGCCUAAAGAAGUAUAACUUCAAAAAUAUUAUUUUAACCGUUUGCGGUCGUUAUCAGAAAAUAUAUAACACCAUUAUAAAUCGUAUUAAGUAGCAUUUUCCUCAUGUCGCUCGCCUAGCAUGUCUGUCACACUUGAAAAUUACACUGAUUUAGUCGUUGGCAUCUCUAGCAUGUCGUAAAUAUAAAGCAUUAUAACCAUAGACAUAAAUAAUAUGUAUAUUUACGUCUAUGCUCGUUACUCGCUAACCAUUCAAUAGUUAAAAAUUUUACCGAGAUAUUUGAAUUGUUUGGUAGAUUUCGGUUGAGAAUCAUCUAUAUCGGUUAUUCCCCAAAUUCUGGUAAUUGCUUUAAAUAAAUUUAUGUUUGGCCUUGCGCUUGCUACACAUGCUUCAAUUUCAAUUAAAGAUAAGUGUCUAUGUGGAGUUCUGUUGAUUUUAUAGAUUGUGUUAGUAUUUUUAACAUGAAUAAAUAAAUUUAAUUUAAGUUUCCGUUUCAUCAUCCAGCCUCAAAAGUCCACUACUUAACAUAGGACUCCUCCUCUUGUUUCCAAUCCUGUCUAUCCUGCGCCGCUCUAAUCCAGUUUUAUUUAGUCUUUUCAAAUCAUCUUGUAGGCGGUCGACCGACGCUUUUCUUGUCUUCUCUUGAUCUUGAUUCCAAUAACUUUUUUGUCCAUCGCCCAUCUGUCAUUCUGGCUGCAUCUCCAGUUUAGUGUCUGGCUAUCUUUUCGAUGACUUCAGUCACCUUUGUUCUUCUCCUGAUCUCUUCGUUUUUUAUUCUGUCUCGCAGAGUUGUUCCCAACAUUAACCGCUCCAUUAUUCGCUGUGUGACUCUUAGUUUUGUAGCCGAGGCUUUAGUUAAGGUAAGUGUUUCUGCUCCGUAUGUCAAGACUGGGAGGACGCACUGUUCAAAUAACUUUCUCUGUGGCAACUCACAUGUGGCUCACAGGCAUGUGGGCAACUCACUUUUAAAAGUUACUCUCAGUUUUCCAUAUGCUGCCCACCCAAGACCUGAUUCUUCUCUUCAGUUCAUGAGUCUGGUUAUCCCUGCAAUCGUAAUUGCAUGUCCCAGGUAUUUUUAUCUCUCUACGAGUUCUAUUUCUUUCCCACCAAUACUGAUGUUCUGGUAGGGUACCAAAGUCAUUAUUUUUAUUUUUGUGUUGGCUAUAUUUAAACUUAUAUUUUCUGUAGCCACAACGAGUUCCUGUACCAUAAUAUCUCUUGUCAUACCUAGAUCCUUAGCUAUUAUGACUAUAAUGCCUGGUUGCCCCAACAAAUCUUAAGCUCCAGCUUAGCUAAGCUCUACUUAUAGAUAGGGCCUCCUUGAGUAUCACUUACGUUGCACCGUAAUUUUAGAUUCUUACCUUAUUAUCAAUUAUAUCUAUUAUUAUAUUAUGGUAUUCUUAUUGUAAUAUAUUAUAAUUGUAUUAUAUUAAUUCUUAUGAUAUUCUCGACUUAAGCUUAAGAUCUGUUGGUGCAACCGGGCAUAAGUUGUUUAGGUAUUCUACAUCUCUUUUAAUUCCUGUUGUCGUCCAAUCCAAAUUCUAUAAGGUUGUCAAGAAUUCAAGUUUCCGUUUAAAAUAUGCCAAUAAAUUUUAACACAUCAUUCAAUUUUAAAUUCAACUGUAGCUUAUUUAGCACGUUCGGUGUUCAACUUGAACAAGCACCACAUGGCUGGUACCACAUACUUAAAUAGUUCAUUUAGUAUUAACGUAAUACUACCGCCGAAACUCGUGCUUCGUCGGCACUCUCGAUGAAACCCUCGUGCCGACACACUGUCGGCAUGGGCAAAUAACAAGUUGACAUGUUUUGUUCAAUUCUACCAAAUACGAAUAUUUUAGUAUAGAUAGUAAAAAAGAUGGAGCUAUUUUACAUAAUGUUAGAAAUGUUAUUUUGAUUAAACGGCCACCACGACCUCAGUGCACUUUCAUAUGACACUUAGUUCAGUAGGCAUGUAAUACAUGACAAAUACAUACUUGUUUGUACAACACUUUACUCGUCAUUGCGUUCGACCACAAAGGGAUAAAUUAUUAUAUCACAAUUGAAAACGUGAUAAUCAAACAAGAUUGUUGUAGCCAUUUAUUCCACUCAAUAAAGCAUAAAAAAAUGUAUAAUUUUUGAGCCUGUCAUAGGCACAGGAACAAUUUUAGGCGAUUUAUUUCUAUAAAAAUCUUCCUAUAGGGUGAGUUAUUUGAAAAAAGGUUUUUUUGUAAAAUUACAAAGACUCGCACUUUUUAUAUUUCUUUCAAAACUAAGUAUAUUAAACCAGCGAAACUUGUAGAUCAUACAUUAAUAAAGUGUAAAGGGAUAAUGAUUAUUAUUAAUUAGGGGGUAUUUUCACGUUUUUUGUUGCUUAAGAAAAUAUGUACCAAUUUUAAUUUUUCUCAUAACCCCCUUAUGAUUGGUGCUAGUCUUUUAUAAAAAUAAAAACAAAUUUUUUUUAACCAUUACAAAAACGGUUUUAUGAGUUUUCCACGAAAAUGCAUUGGUUUCUUCAUAUUUCAUGUUGAAACUUUAAAUCUUAUUGUUUGAUGAAGAAGAAAUAACUUUCAAUACUUAUUCACUUGUGUUGGGGUACAAACACCACCAUCCCAUUUUGUUUUUUUUUUAUUAUUAUUAACUUACUUUCUUUAAAAAAUUAUUUUUUGAUAAAACACAUACUUUUUAAAUAAUUCGCAUAAAGUCGUUUGAAUAAGUGAUUUUGUUUUGUUAAAAAUUGACAUUUUCACUUGUAAAUUGAUCUAAAAGUAUGAUGAACUAUGGAAAAAUGACAUGGACGUAUAAACACAGAAAGUGUCUAUACGUCCAUGGAAAUGAUCAUUGGCUAGACUAGACUGUUUUACUUUACUAAUAUAAAGCUUGUAUAAUAAUUUUUAAUGUACUAGAUUUACGCCCUUUUAAUUGCCCAUAAAAUGAGAUUUUGUAAAACCGCAUCAGUCCAUCGAUUGCUAAGAUAUAAUAAUUAGUUUAUCCCAAGAAGAAAAAAGUAAAAGGCUUUUUAAAAGCAAAUCCAGAUACCUAAUCCAUAGCACAUUUUCUUUUCUUAUAUUUUAUCACUAUAAUGUAAAAAUAUGUUUACCCUUAUUUAUUACAUUAGUAAUAUGGUUAAUUUUUUGUAAACAUUUAGAGUAAGGUCCACUUAAAUAUCGUGGUAGUUUGCUACUGCUAAUUUAAAAAAGCAGUUGAUCUUCUAAAAUCUCUGAUAUCUGACGAGGGAACAUCCAUAAAAUUCGUCGUUGAAAAGAGGAAGGGGGGACUUUGCUUAUUACGACGGUAUACGACAGAGGGGCCAUUGCUAGUUUAGAAUUAAAAAGAAUUAUAUUACUUUUAUCGCAUACUUUUCAUUUCGUUUUUAUCGCGCAUAGCCUUAAAUAAUAUUGCUAGCAGUUUUAUAUAGAAUAACAAACAAUAAAACAUUGUUCUUUGGGUUUAAAAAAACGCUUCUAUACAGAACAACGUCUGGAAACAAUAAAUACUAAACUGUUCAUUUAUUUAUUGAAUACUCUGUGUGACACAAUUCUACAAGAAUGAAUAGAAAUAAAAUAUUUAGUUUUACAUUGUAUAACAUAUUAUAUUACAAUAUACAUAAUAUAACAUAUUAUAUUAAUAACAGAAAUGGCAUUGAAAUCAACAGAAUAAGUAUCAAGAUUUAUAAUGAUGCAGUUAAGAAAGCAUAGGUACUCUGAUAAAAGUUGUCUUUUGUCCAAAUAAAGCUAAUUAGUUGUACAGUGAAUUGAUAGAAAAAAGUACGCGGAUAUUAAUGAGCUACAUAGUAAUACUGAUUUGGUUACAUUCGUAAAUAAACUUUGAGAGCCAACUUUGUAAAAUCCAGAAAUAACAUGGAAUUUAAAAAAAAAUCACUAAAAAGGGGGGUCAUGACGCUUUACGAUGGAAGGAGAGGAAAGUAAUAAAAACUCCAAAAAUUUUACGACGUAAUUUAUGGAUGUUCCCUAGGGAUAAUUAAUGACAACUGGUUCUCAAACUUUUUAUUUUCAAAGUGUAGGUCUACAAAUAGGUGAGCGGCAGGCAACCCCAAAAUGACAUGGCACUGACCACGGUGUCGUGAAUGGCUAAUUUUGGUCAUAUUUUAUGUUUUUGAUGGUGCUGAAAACGAAAAUGAAGUUUAUUCUGAAUUUUAAUUGGGCGCAUUGUCAAAAUCGAAAUUUUACACUAAAAAUAAAAAAAAAAUCACGUUUUUCUUAAAAUUAAAAGUUGCACCAUUUUUUUCUAUAAAACACUUUGUUCUAAUACUUUCCGGAAAACUUCUUUGUACUCUAUACUCUAUAUUUUAACAGAACCGUGAUUAAAAAGCUUCUUCUUCUUAUAAUUGUUGUAGAUCUGUCGAUCUGUUAAUUCAGACGUUGAAGUAUUUCUUGAGAGGUAGACUGUGAGCUAUCUCUCCAUCUUUUUGGUGGUCUCCCCAGUGGACGGUUGCCAGUUGGUUUUCCUUCUAGCGCAAUUCUUGGUAGUCUGUGCUCCUCCAUUAUUUUUUACAUGACUGAACCAUUCUCUUCGUCUUUGCCUGCCCCAUCUGACUACAUCUUGACUGCGCAUGACUGCGGUCUUGUUUAUUUGUCCUCUUAGGUCUCUGGCUGAUAACUUGAUAAAUCUACACCUAGAUAUUUGAACUUGAUUUAGCUGUUCUAUGGGUUUCCCCUCUACCACGAGCUUGCAUCUAAUUGGAUCUUUCGCAAUGGUAAUGCAUUUUAUUUUCUGCGUGGAUGUGUUCAUGUUGAGUCGUCGACAUGCUUGAUAGAAACGAUACAGUUGUCUUUGUAAAGUUGUCAUCCUCAUCCUUUGCAGUCAGGGCCGCAUCAUCCGCAUAGCACACUAUACUGAUUCUACUAUGACAGAGUAUGUAUCCUAGUUGUAGCGAUUCCACAUCUUCUAUUAUUUCAUCCAUUAGCAUAUUGAAUAGAAAUGGGCUGAAGCUGUCUCCCUGCCUGAUUCCCAUUGGUGUUGGUAUAUUGGCCGUAGUGGUGUCAUUUGAUUAAAAAGCCAACUUGCUCAAAAGCUCAAAUUUCAUCACGCAACUCUUGCGAUUAAACUUGGUCAUUCAGGAAUCUGCACCUUUUAUUUUAAAAAAUUCAUAACUUUUAGAAUAAGACUCAAUGCUUGCAACAGAUCCCAUAGUCUUCAGAAAGGUGAAAAAUUUAUGCUAUAAAAAUUUCAGAAAAAAUAUUAAACUCAAAAAAACAUAUUUUUUUAUUUAUAGGGUAAAAUUGCAUUUUUGACAACGUUCCCUCACUUAAAACUCAAAAUAAACCUUAUUUUCGGUUUCAGCACCAUCAAAAACAUAAAGUAUGUCUACAAUUAGCCAUUCACCUCACCGUGGUCAGUAUCUCGAGAAAUAAGCGUUUUUUGGGGGUGUGCCGCUUGUCUAAAAGUUUAUUGGCGCACCAGAGUUUUAAACUGGGAUAAUCUUGCCAUUAUAUAUGUUCAAAACGGUGUAGCCCUUUACUUUUUCGUCUUAAAGUAAACAAACUAUCAUUUUAGAAUUGCCCAUGAUAUAUGUAGAGUGGUACCUACUGCAUGUUUUUGAAUACAAUAAAUGAAGGAACAUUAACUACUACAUAAAAAUGAAACUAUCAUGUCUUAUCGACAACUGGACCUGUUCGGUCUCUUUUUUAAUUUGUGUGGGAUACUUAACAUUUUUUCGUAGAAUGUCACCAAUUUCAUAGGUAGUUAAGAAAUGUAGAAUAUAGAAUUUUUAAGCAGUCAAUUGCUGCUACUCACUCAAAGUAUCAACCUAAAUUUUGAUUUUUUUAGUUGCUUAGGCCCGGUUUUUCAGUGAGCGGUUAAAAUUUUGGUUAGCUAACCUAGUUUAAAUUUUAACCAAUAUUUUAACCCUAAUAGCGUUUUUGAGUGCUUUAAACCAAAUUAAGAAAAUCUCGGUUAGCUAACCAUUUUUUUUCUUCUGUUGGCAGCAGUAACUGUACGUGCGCAUGUGCAAUUCGAGAAGUAAUGAUCAAUUUGGCAGAAAAAUAAAUAAAAAACAAUUUCAUAACCAAAUUAAAAAAGUUUUUAAUGCAAUGCAAUAUCAAGUUCGGAAUCUUUGUUUAGUUCAUAACGUCUACCUCGGUUUCAUAACAGAAGAGAAUUACAAUUACUGGGACCAUUUAGACUUUUUUUCAGAUUUUGUUUGUCAAAGACCACGGUCUUAUCACUAUUUGAA